rnacentral:rRNA from 1 species
UGGGGAAUAUUGGGCAAUGGGGGAAACCCUGACCCAGCAACGCCGCGUGAAGGAAGAAGGCUUUCGGGUUGUAAACUUCUUUUACCAGGGACGAAGGACGUGACGGUACCUGGAGAAAAAGCUCCGGCUAACUACGUGCCAGCAGCCGCGGUAAUACGUAGGGAGCGAGCGUUGUCCGGAUUUACUGGGUGUAAAGGGCGUGUAGGCGGAGGAGCAAGUCAGAAGUGAAAUCUCCGGGCUUAACCCGGAAACUGCUUUUGAAACUGUUCCCCUUGAGUACUGGAGAGGCAGGCGGAAUUCCUAGUGUAGCGGUGAAAUGCGUAGAUAUUAGGAGGAACACCAGUGGCGAAGGCGGCCUGCUGGACAGCAACUGACGUUGAGGCGCGAAAGCGUGGGGAGCAAACAGGAUUAGAUACCC